rnacentral:rRNA from 1 species
AACGAACGCUGGCGGCGUGCCUAACACAUGCAAGUCGUACGAGAAACACGUCCUUCGGGAUGUGGAGUAAAGUGGCGCACGGGUGAGUAACACGUGGGUAACCUGCCUCGAGGUUCGGGAUAACUCCGCGAAAGCGGGGCUAAUACCGGAUAAGACCACAUGAGCUUCGGCUCAAGGGGUCAAAGUCGGCCUAUCGAAGAAGCCGGCGCCUGGAGAUGGGCUCGCGGACCAUUAGCUUGUUGGUAGGGUAACGGCCUACCAAGGCUAAGAUGGUUAGCUGGUCUGAGAGGAUGAUCAGCCACACUGGAACUGAGAUACGGUCCAGACUCCUACGGGAGGCAGCAGUGAGGAAUAUUGCGCAAUGGGGGAAACCCUGACGCAGCAACGCCGCGUGGGUGAAGAAGGCUUUCGGGUUGUAAAGCCCUGUCAGGUGGGAAGAAACCUCUGCAAGUGAAUAGUUUGCGGAACUGACGGUACCACCAAAGGAAGCACCGGCUAACUCCGUGCCAGCCGCCGCGGUAA